UCGAGCGAGCGUUUCUGCGGAAUUCUUCGGAAGGAAGCGGGAAUGACUUAGCGGCGGACGGGUGAGUAACGCGUGGGCAACCUGCCUCGUACAGGGGGAUAACAGUUAGAAAUGACUGCUAAAACCGCAUAAGCGCACAGCAGCGCAUGCUGCAGUGUGAAAAACUCCGGCGGUACGGGAUGGGCCCGCGUCUGAUUAGCUUGUUGGCGGGGUAACGGCCCACCAAGGCAGCGAUCAGUAGCCGAUCUGAGAGGAUGGCCGGCCACAUUGGGACUGAGACACGGCCCAAACUCCUACGGGAGGCAGCAGUGGGGAAUAUUGCACAAUGGGGGAAACCCUGAUGCAGCAACGCCGCGUGAGUGAAGAAGUAUUUCGGUAUGUAAAGCUCUAUCAGCAGGGAAGAGAAUGACGGUACCUGACUAAGAAGCCCCGGCUAACUACGUGCCAGCAGCCGCGGUAAUACGUAGGGGGCAAGCGUUAUCCGGAUUUACUGGGUGUAAAGGGAGCGUAGACGGCUGGCCAAGUCUGAAGUGAAAGCCCGGGGCUUAACCCCGGAACGGCUUUGGAAACUGGCCGGCUGGAGUGCUGGAGAGGCAGGCGGAAUUCCUGGUGUAGCGGUGAAAUGCGUAGAUAUCAGGAGGAACACCGGUGGCGAAGGCGGCCUGCUGGACAGUAACUGACGUUGAGGCUCGAAAGCGUGGGGAGCAAACAGGAUUAGAUACCCUGGUAGUCCACGCGGUAAACGAUGAAUGCUAGGUGUCGGGGGGCAAAGCCCUUCGGUGCCGCCGCA
rnacentral:rRNA from 1 species